rnacentral:rRNA from 1 species
UACGUAGGUGGCAAGCGUUAUCCGGAUUUAUUGGGCGUAAAGGGAACGCAGGCGGUCUUUUAAGUCUGAUGUGAAAGCCUUCGGCUUAACCGGAGUAGUGCAUUGGAAACUGGGAGACUUGAGUGCAGGAGAGGAGAGUGGAACUCCAUGUGUAGCGGUGAAAUGCGUAGAUAUAUGGAGGAACACCAGUGGCGAAAGCGGCUCUCUGGUCUGUAACUGACGCUGAGGUUCGAAAGCGUGGGUAGCAAACAGG